AAUUCGCCCUUCCGGUUGAUCCCGGCGGAGGUCACUGCUAUCGGGGUUCGAUUAAGCCAUGCGAGUCGAGAGGGUUCGGCCCUCGGCGUACUGCUCAGUAACACGUGGAUAACCUGCCCUAAGGAAGGGGAUACCCCCGGGAAACUGGGUAUAAUACCCUAUAGAUUACAGAUGCUGGAAUGCCCUGUAAUCGAAAGUUCCGACGCCUUAGGAUGGAUCUGCGGCCGAUUAGGUUGUUGUCGGGGUAAUGGCCCAACAAGCCAGUGAUCGGUACGGGUUGUGGGAGCAAGAGCCCGGAGUUGGAUUCUGAGACACGAAUCCAGGCCCUACGGGGCGCAGCAGGCGCGAAAACUUUACAAUGCGGGCAACCGUGAUAAGGGAACCUCGAGUGCCUGUAUAUGCAGGCUGUCCAGGUGUCUAAAACACACCUGAAGAAAGGGCCGGGCAAGACCGGUGCCAGCCGCCGCGGUAAUACCGGCGGCUCGAGUGGUGGCCACUUUUAUUGGGCUUAAAGCGUUCGUAGCUGGGUCGUUAAGUCUCUUGGGAAAUCCGGCAGCUCAACUGUCGGGCGUCUAAGAGAUACUGGCGAUCUUGGAACCGGGAGAGGUGAGGGGUACUUCGGGGGUAGGAGUGAAAUCCUGUAAUCCUCGAGGGACCACCUGUGGCGAAGGCGCCUCACCAGAACGGCUUCGACAGUGAGGGACGAAAGCUGGGGGAGCAAACCGGAUUAGAUACCCGGGUAGUCCCAGCCGUAAACGAUGUGCGUUAGGUGUAUCAACGACCACGAGUCGUUGAGGUGCCGAAGGGAAACCGUGAAACGUACCGCCUGGGAAGUACGGUCGCAAGGCUGAAACUUAAAGGAAUUGGCGGGGGAGCACCACAACAGGUGGAGCCUGCGGUUUAAUUGGACUCAACGCCGGGAAGCUCACCGGAUAAGACAGCUGAAUGAUUGCCGGGCUGAAGACUCUGCAUGACUAGCUGAAAAGGAGGUGCACGGGCCGUCGUCAGUUCGUACUGUGAAGCAUCCUUGUUAAGUCAGGGCAACGAGCGGAGACCCAA
rnacentral:rRNA from 1 species